rnacentral:rRNA from 1 species
AUUGAACGCUGGCGGAAUGCUUUACACAUGCAAGUCGAGCGGCAGCGCGGGGGCAACCCUGGCGGCGAGCGGCGAACGGGUGAGUAACAUAUCGGAACGUACCCAGUCGUGGGGGAUAACUAUCCGAAAGGAUAGCUAAUACCGCAUACGUCCUGAGGGAGAAAGCGGGGGAUCGCAAGACCUCGCGCGAUUGGAGCGGCCGAUAUCGGAUUAGCUAGUUGGUGGGGUAAAGGCUCACCAAGGCGACGAUCCGUAGCGGGUCUGAGAGGACGACCCGCCACGACUGGAACUGAGACACGGUCCAGACUCCUACGGGAGGCAGCAGUGGGGAAUUUUGGACAAUAGGGGGCAACCCUGAUCCAGCCAUGCCGCGUGAGUGAAGAAGGCCUCGGUUGUAAG